GCGUGCAAGCAGGAGCGGGGCGGGGAUCUCUCAGCUGUGAAGGGAGUCUUCAUGCUGCCUAUCAGAGCUUGCGUGCAAGCAGGAGAGGGCAGGGAUCUCUCAGUUAGGCAACAGGAAGCCUCUCUUCCCAGCUGGGGGAUCCCUGCCCCCUCCUGCUUGCACGC